AAGAUUUUAAGUUAAAAAAACUAAUAACCUUCAAAGUUAUAAAUAAGUAAAAACUUAAGUCUUA
rnacentral:tRNA from 1 species